UAAUGAGCAGCUAGUAGUCUCAUUUAGGGACAUUCACCUGCCUGGGCACAGUGGAGAUGAUUAGAUGAGAACCGGCCCUUUCAGGUUAGUACCCAAGGAUCCACUUUCUAAAAGGAGAGUGCCUGCACAGAUUAAUUUUUGAGCCAAGCUGGUCUUGCAAGGCUGGGUCUCUUCCCUCACUCUGCUCUUACUGCAUCCUCCACUGCAAAGCACCAGGCCGGGACGAGCAGAGGCAGACAUUGAAGCAAGAGUUUCUGGGAGGUGCUCUGUAGCUCCAUUAUCAUGUGAACAAUAAAAGAGGAUCCUUGGGCUGCUGAGAUGAUUCAGUGGAUACAGCUGCUUUCUGCCAAGUGGGAUGACCUGAAUAUGAUCCCUGGAACCCACAUGGUGGAAGGAAGAGAACCAACUUCCACAAAGCUGUCCUCUGACUCCACACGUAUUCUGUGACACGCAGACGUGCACCCGCGCACAUGCAUGCAUGCAUGCAGAAGCAAUAAAGACUGCUGUUUGAACGCUGUACUGUAGAAGGCACAGACUGAGAUGCUGGAUCAACUGCGCAUGCCUGUCUUUGUGACCGGCUGCUAUCGAUCCUUCCGAGCCCGUGUGCCACGCUGGAAAGCUGCAUCUAAGAGUUAAGAUUUACUGGCUUAAAAGCGUGUGUGUCGUGGGAUUGCGCGGUGGCUCAGUAAAUUGUGAGAAUUCAAUGUGAACAUCUUUGAAAUGCAGUUUCAAAUCUCCCACACGCUGACAAGAGCCACGUGAACCAUUGUGCAGCACUGCACCCAUUUGACAGAUGAGAGCAUGGAUACCUAACCGGAGCCUGGCAGGUCUUGGACAGCAGAGGCCACCCUGCAUCUGACACCAUCUCUUGUAAUCCAUGACUUCUCUUCCUGCCUCCAUGAAUCUCCAGAUAACAGAUUCCUGCCCUCCUAAAAGAUGGGACAAGACAAACACCAAAGGGCAGUGUUGGACUGCAGGGGGGACCAGGAGACCUUACUGACUCGUCGGCAAUAAAGUUUGUGUGGUAGGCUUUGAUGACUACUAUGGGCAUCCUCUGUAUGUGUGUGUGGGGGGCGGGGGGAUGUUACUCUGCUUUCAGGGGAGUCUCUGACUUCUUUUUUAUAACUUGUGGUGAAUGGAGCCAGGUCUUCUUGACCCGAUACUGAGGGAUAAAGAGGGACAAAGGAGCUCCAGGAGAUGGCAGAGCGAAGCCAGGGUUCUUGGGAGUCAAGAGAGAUCUUGGGGUAUUGUUCUGGUUGUGGGGAGGAGAGGAUGGUCACUUCUAUCCCAAUGCUUUGCCCCACUGCUGUUGGUGUCCAUGUGGACCCCAGCCAUGCCCAGAAGGAUCCCAAGAAUGAUGACGAUCCAGAGACAGGGGACAAAAGGGAAUUAGGAACGCAGGCCAGGGACAGUUACUAGCAUUGCCUGCAGAGCCUAGGAGUCUACUCAGAGAAGAACUCACAGCCUGAGGCUGGCCCCUUUCAGGAAUUUGUAAUGCGACUCCCUUGUGUGAGGUACAACCAUGGAGUCACACAUCACUGCUUAGACUCCCGAGCCACCUCCCAGCCUCAGUGCCUUACACCCUUUUUAACUGAGCACUCUGAGCAAAAUGCCAAGGACCUGGGUCUUAAACAGGCUCCCCUUGUCCUUCUCUGGUCACUUGAGCAUCCAUUACAGGCUUUCUGGCAUCCUUCAGGCUCUCCUGCUGGCCCUGGCUUGGGACCCUCCUUCUGCCUCCCAGUGCCUCCCACUUCCUGUCUCUCCAACUGUCCCAAGGAAAAUGCAAACCUUCUGUGCUCAGCACAGGCAUGCCCGUCAAAGUACUGAAACAUCAUCUUUGUGGGUGGUUUCAGAGCCUGGCUGCCAGAGCCAAGGCAGUCAAUGGGACUGCUGACUGACUUUCUUCCACUUGAGAGGGGAGCAGCCCGUGACUGGGAUCCUGUUCCGAACAAGGGAUGGGGAAAGACAGAGCCCUUGCUCCCUGCCUGUGUUUGUGUGGAGCCUUCAAUGCCUUUUCCAGUUCACUUUGACUUCCUCAGCAACAGCCUGAGAGGUGGGGUUUGUCUUCCUCAGUUUACAGAGUAGCAAUCCGAAGCUCUGAGAACUGACAUGACUUUCCCAACUCUACUCUCCCAUCUGUCACAGUCUGAUCACAAACUGAAUUCUCAGUUUGAUCCUAGCGUCUUUUCCCUUUGAUAGGCAUGUGGGCAUAGUGUCCAGCCCGACCCAUGGUGGAGGGUCCCCCUCAAUGAGCAAUGAUACAGGUAUUGAUGUCACCAGGACACAUAAUCUACUACAGGGACAAAAAAAAAAAAAAAAAAAAAAAAAACCCAAAAACCAAAAAACAAAAAUCAUGAGACCAAGCAUUCAAAAUAUCUACAUACUUGACCUAGAGAAUUUCCUUGUUGGAUGCCACCUGCAGGGGUUAGUGUGGGCCUUGAGCCUUCUUGCAUCUCUGUAUGGGGUAGGUCCCACCCUUAGGUACAGGUAGCAUUGGGCAUCCUUUGUGCUCAUCUCUUCUGUUCAUUCAUGCCAGGAUCAUUCAUGUAUAUGCUCCAUCUCCUAACCUCACUGCUAGGCAGACAUGUUUCUGGGCCCUCCUGACAUUCUUUCUCCUUCCUUUAGAUCUCUGGCACCUGGCACUGCCACCAAGGGACAUCUCAGAGUCUAAGAGUGCCAAACAUGGGCACCUGCCUCAGGAAUGCAUUUGCUAUUCCAUCUGUGUAGCUGUGUUCCAUAAACUGUCUCUGCUUUCCAACAAUUAGUGGGGGGAAAAUAGGCUUUGAAUCUGAAGGGGAGUAGGAAUGGGAAUUACGGGGUGUUUUAGAGGGAAGAAAGAGAAGGGAGAAAUGUAAUUAAAUUAUAAUCUCAAAAAUUAAAAAAAAUCUCUUUUCUAUCUGUAUAACUUUCUGGGAUCCAGGAACUGACAUCCUAGCAGGCUCCUGGGCGAUGCAGAUGCUGGCAUUCUGGGCACUGCCCUUUGGAAAGCUAUGAUGACCACUGAAGCAGAACAGACCAAAGCAAAGAGGUGGGAAAGUCGCGAGAAGAUACAGGACUGGCUGGGAUACAUCAGGAAGAGGAGCUGCGAUGGAUGGGACUUCAAAUGGAAGUUGGUGAUUAUAUCCGUCCCAGCACCUCCCGCCUUGCAAGAGAGGCCUUAUAAAUCCUGGUCACAAGGAAGGGAAACAGAAGCUCAAGGAAGAGAGAGCCAUGGCUUCCUAGGUGUCAGUGAAGACCCAGACGCUGAAACUAUAACCGCCUAGUUCAGAAACCUAUACUUUGCUUGACCACAAUCCAAGCAGGGGGUGGGGAUGGGAUGUUUUUCUGCAGGGCUGGACAUAGAGUCAGUGUUCAGAGCACAUUGUUGGAGAGAGGAAGGAUGGGUGAGUGAAUAAGUGAAGAAAUGAAUGAGAGAACAGAACCACUUUGAGAGCCUGGAAACCGGGACCUCACGCUCUGUGACCUCACGCUCCAACUUCCCCUCCUCCCCGAGUCUGAUCUGAAAGGUGACCCCCGUUCCUCUCGCCCAGGUGAUAAAGCCAGGUGCAGGUGCACCUGUUACCCAAACCUGAUAUCCAAAUAGGAAGUAAGGCUGAGAUAAGGCUGUGGAGGGCAGUGCCUGGAAUCACGGGGUUGGGCUGGCCAUUGGCUUGAUGCCACAAGUGUCCACCGAGCCUCUCCUAAAGGUUGAGCUCUAUGCCAGGUUCCUUCAGGGUGAGGCAGGAAGCCACGCAGCUCCUGACCUCCAACAGCUUAUGGAAAAAAAAAAUACUUACAAACAGGAUGUGGGUCGGGCAAAGGGAGAAGUGUGAAGCAGGUGGCCAUUGCUCCCUGACAGCUCCAACAGGGAGUUGGGACUGAGAGAUGAGAAGAAAUGAGGCAGUAGUUAGUGAUGCCAGGGGAGGGGCCUGACCCUUGCACUGCCAUUGCUGAGGAAUAAGAGGUCCUUAAAGUUUAGCUCCUCAGACCCAGACCCCUCCCCAGUCCUCCUAC
rnacentral:lncRNA from 1 species